GAUGAACGCUGACAGAAUGCUUAACACAUGCAAGUCGAUGGGGAAGUGGUGCUUGCACCAUGGCAACCAUGGCGGACGGGUGAGUAACGCGUAAGGGACUUACCUGCAGGACUGGGAUAACAGGGGGAAACUCCUGACAAGACCGGAUAAUGUCAUGUAGCUGCAUGGCUUUAUGAUGAAAGGAGACGCCUGCGGAGAGCCUUGCGUCCUAUUAGCUAGUUGGUGAGGUAAUGGCUCACCAAGGCGAAGAUAGGUAGCCGGCCUGAGAGGGUGGACGGCCACAAGGGGACUGAGAUACGGCCCUUACUCCUACGGGAGGCAGCAGUGGGGAAUAUUGGACAAUGGGGGCAACCCUGAUCCAGCAAUUCUGUGUGCACGAAGAAGGUUUUCGGAUUGUAAAGUGCUUUCAGCAGGGAAGAAGUAAGUGACGGUACCUGCAGAAGAAGCGACGGCUAAAUACGUG
rnacentral:rRNA from 1 species